AUUUUUUUUAGGCAAUAAUAAUAGUAGGCAACAUUAAUAAUGGCUUUUCCUGCAGAAGCAUUAGCAAUAGUUAUUGAUGUUAGUCCUCAUAUGACAAUACCUGAUUCUGAAAACCAAUCUCUUCUUCAAAAAAGUAUUUUGGCUGCUAACAAGAUUGUGCAAAGAAAAAUAUUUGCUGAUACUAAGAAAAAUAAAGAUGAAGCCACACUCAUACUUUUUGGAACAAGUGGAACAUUCAAUCCUCUGAAUGACGGACACAACCAGUAUAAACAUAUCACAAUAGUACAAGAGCUUCGUGUUAUAGAUCUUGAUUUGCUCAAAUUUAUUAAUAAUCGUAUUCUACCGGGUACAGCAAAUGCUGAUUUCAUUGAUGCUCUGGUUGUAGCUGUGGAUCAUUUGAGAACAAAAUGUUUAGGGCGAAAGAUGACAAAAAAGAUUGUUCUGUUUUCUAACAUGUGUUCAGAGUUUGCUGAUGAUCAAUUAGAAAUGAUAAUAUCUGCAAUCAAAGCAUGUGAAAUCAACCUUAUUUUUGUCGGUCCUGAGAUAGAUGAUGAUGAUGAUAGUGAAGUGCAGAGUCCAACCCCAAUGCUAAACAAUAAACCUCUAGGAUCUCAGCAAGUUAAAGGUAUCAACUGCAUUCGUCAUAUUUUAGAAUCUGUAGAUGGAGAAGGCAUGUCUAUAAGUGAAGUUCUUCCAAUGGUGAGUUUCUUUGAAAAACGAAGCAAAAAGCAAGUUACAGCGUUUCGAGGACCUAUUGAAAUAGGAGCAUCAUUAAAAAUUAAUUGCUAUGCUUUUGUUAAGACAUCAGAGGAGAAGCCGUUUUCUUGGAAGAAACUUUCAGCAGUUGCUGAAUCAGAACUCAAUUGUCACACAAUGGAAGUUGACAUGAGGCGAUCAUACCAUAGGAUUGAUGAAGAUCAAACACAAGUAGAAAAAGAUAAUAUUGCACAUGCAUAUCGUUAUGGAAAAAUGCUUGUUCCAAUGUCAGCUGAAGAUCAAAAAGCUAUGAAACUCAACUCAGAAAAAGGGUGUUUAGUACUUGGUUUCACUUCUCGAAAUAAUAUUGAUCGCUGGAUGUUCAGUCAAAAUGGUUGUCAUAUUUUUGUUGCCCAGCCAGACGAUGAAUAUGCAGCUGUAGCUUUCUCUGCUCUGUGUCGUGCAUUAGAUGAAAAAAAUAUGGUGGCAAUUGUUCGCUAUGUAUCAAGGAGCAAUAAUGAUCCAAAAAUUGGAUUUUUAACUCCUAAUAUAAAGAGCUCUUAUGAAAGUCUUUUAUUUAUUGCUUUACCAUUUAAAGAAGAUAUCAGACACUAUCAGUUUGCUUCAUUUAAGAAUGUUAAAGAACCAUCAGAAGAAGCAAUUGCAGCAAUGGAUUCAUUUAUAGAUUCAAUGACUCUCAUAAAGAAUGAUACAGAGUUAUUUAAUCCGAAAGAUUUGGUAAAUCCUUAUAUGCAAAGACAGUUUCAAUGCAUUCAACAUCGUGCAUUAAAUCCCGAUGACACAACAAUACCAGAGGUGGAAGAAUAUAUUGCAAGUUCAUUGAGAGUUAUUCCUGAGAUGUUAGCUAAUGCACAAGAACAAGCAAGUAUAAUCAAGAAAAAUUUCCCUUUGCAAGAGUUAAAACAAAAAGAAAAAAAUGUCAACAUGUUCCAACAGGAAUUAAUGAUACAGAAUAUAAUGAUAACAAUAUGGGAGAUAAUGAAUCUAGAGACUUUUUAUCAAGUUUAACGAAGUCUUGUUUAAAGGAGGUUGGAACAGCUGAUCCGGUUAAUGAUUUCUUAACAUUGAUAGAAAAUGCUGACAAUGACAAGUUUGUUGAAGUGUGCGAGCAAAUGAGGAAAAGCAUCUUGAAACUCGUUCUCAACUCUUUUUUAUCUCAAUAUUUCAUAAAAGCUAUUCAAGCAACUAAAACUCUUAGAGAACAAAGCAUUGCU
rnacentral:misc_RNA from 1 species